UGCUGAGCAGGUAAAACUCCCCCCAAUUGAAAAUUCAAGUUUCAUACCCUCACCUCGAUAAUGAAAAUCUCUCGUCUCUAACCUAGCAGUCCCGCACAAAUCUGAGCUCUGAACUCUCUCGCCUCUCUCACCUCUCUCACCUCACAUCCCGACAUUCAUUUCUUAUCACCUCUGACCUCCAUUUCUCAUCUCAAUAUCACAUCAGUUCAAGUUAGGGUUUCGGUGUUCUGUCAUCUGAUUUGGGGAUUUUGCUAAUUUCUCAAUUCAAGUUCAAGUUCAGUUAUCGAUUAGGGUUUUUGAAGUUUUCAAUUAUGACAUCUCAACUAGGGGUGUGACUUGUAACUUCUUUAUCUCAAUUAGGGCUUUGGCUGGUAACUUUUAAUUGAUGUUUCGGCUUGGGUUGGGUGCUGCAUAAAUGUGUAAAUGUGAUAUAUGUGUAAAUCUCUUGCAGGCACGUCGAAAUGAGUUGGGAAUGGAAGGAAGAGAACUUGGAUCGAGUUGUUUCAUAUGUGAUAACUUGUUUCGUGAAGUCAAAAGGAAGCCUGACGGGCGGAAAGAGGUACUACUUUCUUAAAAACAUGGAAAUAACAAGUUAUAUAAAAAUAACAAAUCUGUUUAUAUUUCAUGCAAUGAUGCCUUCAACCUCUUUGUGCCUAGCUAACUGGUACUUUAUUGUAUGCCUAUUGAUAUAUACUAAAUUAUGGUUUACUGAAUUGUUUAUUUCAUAAGUACAGUUAUUAGGCAAUAUAACAAUUUGUUGACAUAUCUUGAGUUAUAUAUCCAAACAUGGAACUGGGGUAAUGAUUUACGAGAGUAAACCUGGCGGUAUUAUAAAGGGGACGAUACAAUGCUGAGUUUGCGGAAAUUUUUGAUAAGGAUGCUAUGCAGUUUGUUGCUGGAUUGUUGAGGGAAUUCAGAAUCACAUCAAGUAUGCAAUGGAGUGCAGAAAGGAGGCCAAGGAACGGUACAACAUUUGUGGCUUGCCAGGGUUUGAUCCUGCUACGAAAUAUGUCAGGUAAGGGGAGUGGAUGUGUGCUCCAGUUCCAUCAGCGGUGGCUGAUCGUUGGUUUUCAUGGUUUGUGGGGAUCACUCUGUUUUUUUCUGUAUAUAUAAUGAAGAAAACAGAGAUGGCGAGAGUUACAGCACAAACUUGGCUUUAAUAUGCAUAUUACAAAUCAACGAACUCGACUAAUUUGGGACAGAGCGAUAAUUAACAAGAUCUCUUGUUGCUACAAGUUCCUGCAACUAAACCUGACGGUAGUAUAAAAGAUAUAUGGCUUGACAAGAACAAGCAGCAAGAUAUGUCAUUCAUAUUGGUGUAAUGGACAUGGUGCUGGUGACUCAAUACUUUGAUAUCAUGAAGGAAAUCGGUGCAUCCGCAAAGUCAGAUGUUGUUUUUCUCCCACAUGGACCUGGUGCAGUGAAAGACAUAGCCUCACAAAUCAGGGAGGGUCUUCUUCAGAGAAAUGCUACUCAGUGGUAAUAUAGUAUCUACAAUGAGCUUACGCCAUUGCGAAGGGAUUUCUGUAGAUUUGUGACUAGGUUAUUUUGUUGUUUGCUAGAUUGGUUAGGAAGGGAUUUAUCAAUGUACAAGAUAGAUAUUGCCAAAAUUUAUGAAAAAUAUUGCAUUUUACU